rnacentral:rRNA from 1 species
GACGAACGCUGGCGGCGUGCCUAAUACAUGCAAGUCGAGCGGGGUUCAGUCUUCGGAUUGGACUUAGCGGCGGACGGGUGAGUAACACGUAGGUAACCUGCCUAACAGACUGGGAUAACUACCGGAAACGGUAGCUAAGACCAGAUACGCCAACGAGAGGGCAUCCUCCUGUUGGGAAAAGCGGAGCAAUCUGCUGCUGAUAGAUGGACCUGCGGCGCAUUAGCUAGUUGGUGAGGUAGAGGCUCACCAAGGCGACGAUGCGUAGCCGACCUGAGAGGGUGAACGGCCACACUGGGACUGAGACACGGCCCAGACUCCUACGGGAGGCAG